UUUUUGAGACAGGGUUUCUCUGAAUAGCCCUGGCUGUCCUGGAACUCACUUUGUAGACCAGGCUGGCCUCGAACUCAGAAAUCCGCCUGCCUCUGCCUCUGAGUGCUGGGAUUAAAGGCGCGCGCCACCAGGCCGGCUACAUUCAUGUUCAAGAAGCAUGGUUAAAAUGAUGGGCAUAUAUAUAAGGAAAAUGAAAUGCAGAAACUGAGGCUAGCCCACAGCCACACUUUCAGCUUACACAAAGAGGCGGGCUUAAGUCAAAGUAGCAUGUUAGCUAGUCAUGGCACAGUUGCAGGUGUCCCUCAGUAUCUGAAUGACAUUGGUUCAGGAGUCCCACAGUGGAACAGUCUGAGGAUGGUCAAGCCUACCAUACAAAAUGAUUUAAUGCUUGAGUGUACCCUAUGUACAUUCCCCCAUGCACUGUAAGUAACCUGUUGGUUUUCAUACCUAAUAAUGUAAAUGACAUGUUAAGUUGUUACCAUAUUAUUUACAGACUAAUGGAAGGGGAAAGGGCUGGCUAUGGUCAGUACAGACACAAUUUCCCCCAAGCAUUUUUUAAUCUACAGUUGUUUAAUCUAUGGAUUUGGAGGCCUUUGACCCAAAGAGCUGACUCCACUCAGAACUCAAAAGUCAUCGUCAAUGGAGACAAUACUUCAAAAUACCCAUCCUUUUACCCGGCUUCUCUAUUCUGAACAUGUACAGUGGGCUAAAUCCUCCAAGUAUAGCUUAAAUUGUGCAUAGUUAGUCACCUUAGUAUUUUGAUUAUGAAUUCUUUAUCCAGCCUUAGUUUCCAUUCAUGGUCCACUGUUAUGUUCUGGAAGUAUUUCUGCAUAUUUUC
rnacentral:lncRNA from 1 species